UAGUCAUACGCUUGUUUCAAAGAUUAAACCAUGCAUGUGUAAGUAUAAGCGACUUUAUACUGUGAAACUGCGAACGGCUCAUUAUAUCAGUUAUAGUUUAUUUGAUAAAUAUUUUACUACUUGGAUAACCGUAGUAAUUCUAGAGGUAAUACAUGCACCAAGUCCCGACCUCCCGGAAGGGAUGUAUUUAUUAGAUAUCAACCAUCUCGCUUUGGCGGUUUUUGGUGAGUCAUAAUAACUUUUCGAAUUGCAGGGGCCUAGUGCCGGCGAUGAAUCAUUCAAGUUUUUUCCCUAUCAGCUUUUGAUGGUAGUGUAUUGGACUUCCAUGGCGGUGACGGGUAACGGAGAAAUAGGGUUUGAUUCCGGAGAGGGAGCCUGAGAGAUGGCUUCCCCAUCCCAGGAAGGCAGCCGGGGCGUAAAUUAUCCCAUCCCAAUUUGGGGAGGUAGUGACAAUAAAUAUCAAUGCGGGGCUCAACGAGUUUUGCAAUUGGAAAGAGUACAAUUUAAAUCCCUUAACGAGGAUCAAUU
rnacentral:rRNA from 1 species